UUCCCUCGACUGUAUGAAUGAGUCUCUAAUGUGCCAUAUACUAACGGAUACUUAAUGUUCUAUUCUUAAAGAAUCAUUUGACAAAGUGAAAUAUAGUGAUUUCGUUUCUGGAGAUGGAAGGUUUGGUGAAGAAUGGUUAAUCCUGACGACUUAAUGGAACAGUCACACGACAAGACUUCGACUUAUUCGUGCAGCGUGAGUUAUGAUUUAUGACGUUUUAUCACAUGAAUGGAAAGAGUCUACUUUCGUCCAAUUGGCAAACACCCAAUGAUAAACUUCUCGGAAAAAGAACAACAAAUAGAAAUAAAUGUAUUAUGUCACUCAAAAAAUAAAUCAGUGUGUCAAAAAAAUGAAACGGUCAAUAGAAAAGUAUGGUGAAACUAAA